rnacentral:rRNA from 1 species
CGAGGAAAAGAAAUCAACCGAGAUUCCCCCAGUAGCGGCGAGCGAACGGGGAGGAGCCCAGAGCCUGAAUCAGUGUGUGUGUUAGUGGAAGCGUCUGGAAAGGCGCGCGAUACAGGGUGACAGCCCCGUACACAAAAAUGCACAUACUGUGAGCUCGAUGAGUAGGGCGGGACACGUGGUAUCCUGUCUGAAUAUGGGGGGACCAUCCUCCAAGGCUAAAUACUCCUGACUGACCGAUAGUGAACCAGUACCGUGAGGGAAAGGCGAAAAGAACCCCGGCGAGGGGAGUGAAAAAGAACCUGAAACCGUGUACGUACAAGCAGUGGGAGCCUCUUAAUGGGGUGACUGCGUACCUUUUGUAUAAUGGGUCAGCGACUUAUAUUCUGUAGCAAGGUUAACCGAAUAGGGGAGCCGAAGGGAAACCGAGUCUUAACUGGGCGUUAAGUUGCAGGGUAUAGACCCGAAACCCGGUGAUCUAGCCAUGGGCAGGUUGAAGGUUGGGUAACACUAACUGGAGGACCGAACCGACUAAUGUUGAAAAAUUAGCGGAUGACUUGUGGCUGGGGGUGAAAGGCCAAUCAAACCGGGAGAUAGCUGGUUCUCCCCGAAAGCUAUUUAGGUAGCGCCUCGUGAAUUCAUCUCCGGGGGUAGAGCACUGUUUCGGCAAGGGGGUCAUCCCGACUUACCAACCCGAUGCAAACUGCGAAUACCGGAGAAUGUUAUCACGGGAGACACACGGCGGGUGCUAACGUCCGUCGUGAAGAGGGAAACAACCCAGACCGCCAGCUAAGGUCCCAAAGUCAUGGUUAAGUGGGAAACGAUGUGGGAAGGCCCAGACAGCCAGGAUGUUGGCUUAGAAGCAGCCAUCAUUUAAAGAAAGCGUAAUAGCUCACUGGUCGAGUCGGCCUGCGCGGAAGAUGUAACGGGGCUAAACCAUGCACCGAAGCUGCGGCAGCGACACUAUGUGUUGUUGGGUAGGGGAGCGUUCUGUAAGCCUGUGAAGGUGUACUGUGAGGU